ACCGACUUUAAUGAUAUGCAAAUGAUGGGGUGGGUUAUGCAGAAAUUUACAGGACAAGGGGGCAACUCCUGGGUUGUUAGGUCAAUGCUAUGGAAGAGGUUGGCAAUUUCUGGGUGUUGCCAUGACAAUGGUAAACUGAUAUGGCACACUGGUGGGCGUGUCUUAGGGGGAGGUGCUUCCCCCGACCUGUUUUAGCUAGUCCUCAAUUUGGUCCAGUGUCUGAGCUGUGCCUCUGGAGUCAAGUCCGACCUCCUACCUCGGAAUGAGUUUGUGAGAGAGACUUCAGGCACAGCAGGCAGCGCAGGCUCACAAAGUGCAGGCCUUGUGAAUGGCCCCCAACCAGGGCGCCUUGCUCUGCUCCUGGGUGUCUGUUAGUCUGGGUGGUGUGAAGAACAUGGGGCUCCUAUCCGCUGGGACAACGGGAUUGUUACUUGGGAAUUAAGAAGGCUUCCCGUGCCCUCCCGGAUCCUUCGAGGAGGGGCUUCCUGCCGUUCCCCAGCCCUGCCUGGCGGGCUCCCAGCGGCCCGGCCCGUGGGAGCUGGAAUUCGGAGCAGUCCCUGGCGUGUGCGCGCUGCCUCCCGCCUGCCUGCCGGGGCACCUCCUCUGACUCGGGGCCAGGAAUUCCUCCCGCCUGUUCCCCACCAACCCCAAGGGAAGGGGUUGCUGUGGGAAGGACCAGGCCCAUGCUGGAAGUCUGGACUGAGGGAGAGUUGGGGAGGGAGCCACGGCCUG
rnacentral:lncRNA from 1 species